UGGGUUUCCAGAGAGCAAGCUUCUAACGAUAUCAAUCAAAAUGCAUUCUACAGCUAUUUCAUCUUAACAGAUGCUCUUUGGAAAGAAAAAAAAUGAUACAAGAAAUGCUGUGAAAAGGUAGGAGUGAUACAAAUGGUAAUGAACGCCAUCUGGGCAUCUAAGAAUUUUGUGAAUAAGCUCAAGAAUACCUGGUAUGAUCUGCAGAGCACUCAAGGCUACACUGCAAAAGGAUCCAAUCCGGGUCAGCUACUAAGAUUGUUGGAUGAGCAGGCACAAA